rnacentral:lncRNA from 1 species
CGACAGCUCUGCCAGCCAGCAUGACUUGCCUGGCAUUCCUUCCAAGCUCUGCACUCACAGGGGGUGUCUGGAAACCAUCCGAGCAACUCCUGUUUCUGCAACCAGGGCCAGCUCUGCCUUGGCCUGGCUCUUUGAAGGCCUGUGUUAGUGCUCCCGUGUCCAUAAACCGAGGUGGCAGCAGCAAUAGUAAGGUAAUAUUUCAUUGCCAUGGUGUCUGGAGACCCCAGGAAACCUGAGCCUCUCCUGUGCUGGAACCAUGCUGCUGUGGUUUAGGAAUGGUACUUCCCAGUUCAGCACCUCAAGGAGACUCUCCCAAACAUAUGCUGCUUCUACUGGAGGCACAAAAGGCAAAGGUCAUGGGCUGAGUGAGAUAAGAACAAUUUACCGGAAACAGCAAUGAGAUAAGAAAACAAACAGUAACAGCUAAAAUAUUAUUAACAAAGGAUAUAGGAAAAUAAGUUAUUCACAUGGACAAAUAUCCCCAAUAAUAGAAAAUACUCGACAGCUCACUCUGCCACAUUCUCUUGACUAGAAGCAACCCCUUCUCUCUGGAAGUGAGAGUUCCUCGCUACCAGCAAUGACAUGAGAUGGUAUAGAAUAACCUCUGUGUUCUGUCUACAGCUCAUUAAAGUUACUGCAAACAAUUAACUAUAUCCUGGCUGGAACCAGGACACAUGCAAACCUGGAGCAAGAGACAUUACCAUAGUGUGAAGGAGAAAAAAAUAGAGGAAAGAUGAAAUUGUUUGGGUGUUAUUACACAAAGGAUGUUGGCAAAGCCAAACCUGGGCUUCAUUCAGAGCUCAUUGCAUAGAUGUCUCCUCUUACUAACACUACUGCUGAGGGAGACAUGCCUUUUCCACUUCUUUUUUCAAAUUUUCUCUGCCCCUCCUGAACCUGCGCUUUCCUUCAAGAAAAUGUCUUUCCUACUUACCUAUUCAUUCUGAGUUGUUCUUCCAUGGCUGCAGCUGUCUACAGACCACUUCUUUAUCAUCUCUCCUACCUGGAAUAGAGCAUUUCAUCCCCAGCUCUGCACAGGCAGAGCACUGUCUCAACUAACCCUGAUGUGGAGGAGGCAUCUUCCCUCUUCCUAGUGUAUGCUAAAACCUCACCCAUCUGCCCAAGCCACCUGUAGUCCUUCAGAGAGAAGUUUUGCAGAUGAAUUAAUUCUAUCUUGAAAACCCCGACCAAACUGUUCUUCAUCUUAAAAGUAGUGAGAUGUUGCAAUAACAGGGAAAAUCUCUAACUGACAACUCCUUAUCAGUCACCUUUUAAUUUCUUGACUUGGUAACAGACAGGCAGUUCCACCCUUCAAUACAGAGCUCUACAGUACAGUGACUGGUUACUCUCUGCUAUUAUGAGCCUUGGUUAGGAGCCACAGGUCUCCUAAGGACACCAUUAUUUCUGAAUGAAAUUUCAUGAUGGAAUGAUUACAUUUUAAUUAAUUCAAUUAAAAAAAGGCCUUCUGUCUAAAAUAUGUGAAUGAACGAAUCCUUUAUUGUUCUCAAGGCAGCAGGUGCAUCACCUUAAUGUCAGUUUGACAGUUUUUUAUUGAGGAAGGUUUUUGCCACUAGUUGUACUGUUCACUGAUACAUAACCUUUAAUUCACCAGCACUGCAGGAAGCAAAGUGCUGCAGGGAAACAGAACUCAGCCCAAAGACGACUCCUAAAGGAGGACUGAGCUAGUCUUUCUCAUGAUAUAGGAAAGGACUCUAUUUGGACCAAGCAGAAGGGAAGAUUUGUGUUUUGGAGGUCUUAGACCCUAUGCUAAAGGCUUGAUCAGGCUCAAGAGGCACAAGAUACGAAUUACUGCAUUAACACAGGUGACUAGACCCUCUACUGAAAAAGCAAAGGAACAGUAGGAUGAGGGACAUUAAUAUGAAAUUACUCUAUAUUGAAAAGUGUUUUAAAGACGAAAUUUAUAAGAAACAAAUUUACUGGAUGAAGUCAGUGUGCAAGUUCACAUGAAGCUUUUCUGCUUCUCCCAACACUUUCACUCUUUUAGGUAAUCCAAAUUUAAUUUACAACCCAGGUCAUCAUCCCAACCUUUACUUUUUCACUGAACUCUCAGGAUAUGUGUAUGACUCUUUUCAGUUAAGAAUAUCCUAAGUAUCCAGUCAAACCAAAAAACUUCUCGUGUAAUUGCUUGCACAAGAAGAUAACCAACAUUCUUCUGUGUACUCAGAAAGGAUUGGUAUUCAGAAUGUUAAGGCAGGGAGCAUUAACCUAAAAAUCUCCUAACUAUCUCCUAACAAUCCUAGUGUGUUAGAUUUUUACUUUUUUGUUUUUUGGUUUUUUUGUUUGGUUUGAUUUUGCUGGGGUUUUUUUUUCUGUUUGUUUCAUUUUGUUUGGGUUUUGGGGUUUAUUUUCAUUUUUGUUUUGGUUGCUGUUGUUGGGUUUUUGUUUUGAUUUCGGUUUUAGUUAUUUAUUUAGUGCACCAGGGCUCUUUUAAUCAUUUUCUGUUUUUCUUUAUAUACUUUCCAAGAAGAAGAGAAGCACAGAGACAGUUAGGACAUUUUAUACUACAGGAAGAGAAUAACAAGAUGUGUGAUACAGCACUAUUCCCUUUGCACCUUAGAACUCACCAGAGUAGUAUUUUCUCUCUGUGUGUUAACUUCGUCUUCCAUCUUCAGCCACAAAGUGUUUCAUUGCUUCACAGCUGAAGUGUACAUUGUAGGACUGUUGCCCCCGAAGCACCUAAAAACUGAUUCUGGCUAAAUACCAACAAGGACUGCUAUUGGUGGAGUGAAAGCUGUCCCCAAACCACACCUUCAGAAGAAAUCAGUAUUAAACAUGAAAAAGCAGAAUAAAACAGAA